rnacentral:pre_miRNA from 2 species
GUGCAACUUCGUACACGUAUACUGAAUGUAUCCUGAGUGUAUCCUAUCCGGUAUACCUUCAGUAUACGUAACACGAGGAAACAC